rnacentral:lncRNA from 1 species
GUGGCCCUCUCCCAGCCUGCUUUCCCCAUGUGGGGACCACGGACCAGGUUCAUUCACAGGGCCGCUGGCCUAGAAAUGGCCUCAAAUGGAAGCUGCCACCCGAUCCUGGUGGAGGCUUUGGAGCUAGGCUAGAGAUCAGGACUCCGGGGUUCAGUGCGCACGUGCUGCCCCUGCACUAGGGCCGAAGCAAUGCGGGUGCUGGCGACCGACGCAAGGAGGUGACGCACAGGGGACUUAAGGAGCGGACCGCCGCGGGAGGACGCGCCCAGGUCAGGGGGACUCCCUCUGCGCCCCCUACGCUGGGUCUCCGGCCCACGCGUGGCCCGGCUGGUCUGCGGAGCUAGCGCCAGGGCCGCCAGAGGGCGCCCGGGGCGGAGGAUGGGACGGG